rnacentral:rRNA from 1 species
GCGAAACUGCGAAUGGCUCAUUAAAUCAGUUAUCGUCUAUUUGAUAGUACCUUACUACUUGGAUAACCGUGGUAAUUCUAGAGCUAAUACAUGCUGCAAAGCCCGACUUCGGAAGGGUUGUAUUUAUUAGAUUAAAAACCAAUGCCCUCCGGGGCUCACUGGUGAUUCAUGAUAACUUCUCGAAUCGCACGGCCUUGCGCCGGCGAUGGUUCAUUCAAAUUUCUGCCCUAUCAACUUUCGACGGCUGGGUCUUGGCCAGCCGUGGUGACAACGGGUAACGGAGGGUUAGGGCUCGACCCCGGAGAAGGAGCCUGAGAAACGGCUACUACAUCCAAGGAAGGCAGCAGGCGCGCAAAUUACCCAAUCCCGACACGGGGAGGUAGUGACAAUAAAUACUGAUACAGGGCUCUUUUGGGUCUUGUAAUUGGAAUGAGUACAAUUUAAUUCCCUUAACGAGGAACAAUUGGAGGGCAAGUCUGGUGCCAGCAGCCGCGGUAAUUCCAGCUCCAAUAGCGUAUAUUAAAGUUGUUGCAGUUAAAAAGCUCGUAGUUGAACCUUGGGCCUGGCUGGCCGGUCCGCCUCACCGCGUGCACUGGUCCGGCCGGGCCUUUCCCUCUGGGGAGCCGCAUGCCCUUCACUGGGCGUGCCGGGGAACCAGGACGUUUACUUUGAAAAAAUUAGAGUGUUCAAAGCAGGCUUAUGCUCGGAUACAUUAGCAUGGAAUAAUAGAAUAGGACGCGUGGUUCUAUUUUGUUGGUUUCUAGGACCGCCGUAAUGAUUAAUAGGGACAGUCGGGGGCAUCAGUAUUCAGCUGUCAGAGGUGAAAUUCUUGGAUUUGCUGAAGACUAACUACUGCGAAAGCAUUUGCCAAGGAUGUUUUCAUUAAUCAGGAACGAAAGUUAGGGGAUCGAAGACGAUCAGAUACCGUCGUAGUCUUAACCAUAAACUAUGCCGACUAGGGAUCGGACGGUGUUAUUCUUUGACCCGUUCGGCACCUUACACG